AGUGAACGCUGGCGGUAGGCCUAACACAUGCAAGUCGAACGGCAGCACAGUAAGAGCUUGCUCUUACGGGUGGCGAGUGGCGGACGGGUGAGGAAUACAUCGGAAUCUACUUUUUCGUGGGGGAUAACGUAGGGAAACUUACGCUAAUACAGCAUACGACCUACGGGUGAAAGCAGGGGAUCUUCGGACCUUGCGCGAUUGAAUGAGCCGAUGUCGGAUUAGCUAGUUGGCGGGGUAAAGGCCCACCAAGGCGACGAUCCGUAGCUGGUCUGAGAGGAUGAUCAGCCACACUGGAACUGAGACACGGUCCAGACUCCUACGGGAGGCAGCAGUGGGGAAUAUUGGACAGUGGGGGAAAGCCUGAUCCAGCCAUACCGCGUGGGUGAAGAAGGCCUUCGGGUUGUAAAGCCCUUUUGUUGGGAAAGAAAAGCAGCAGGUUAAUACCCCGCUGUUCUGACGGUACCCAAAGAAUAAGCACCGGCUAACUUCGUG
rnacentral:rRNA from 1 species